rnacentral:misc_RNA from 1 species
CCCAGAGUACGUACGGCAGCCUCGCAGACAAUGGUGGAAGUGUCCCUGCCUUUAGACUUGGACCUUGUAUCUGGGUUGGGUAGAGUAUUCGCCAGCUCUUGGAGUUGUCAAUUGCACCUUUUUUUUUUUGUUGGGCUAAUCAAUGAGCUAAUCUUACUUUGUAGUACUUCUCUAGGCGUGGCCCUAUUAACAAAAUUAUAUUUUAUCUUAGUUUGCCCACUACAAAUGAGUCAUCAACUUGCUUUCCUUUUCUAUAAUGCACCUUUCGCACC